GUCUGGGAUAGCUCAGUUGGUAGAGCACGAGACUCUUAAUGUCAGGGUCAUGGGUUCCAGCCCCAUAUUGGGCA